UACGGAGGGUGCAAGCGUUAUCCGGAUUUACUGGGUUUAAAGGGUGCGUAGGUGGGUAGGUAAGUCAGUGGUGAAAUCUUCGAGCUUAACUCGGAAACUGCCAUUGAUACUAUUUAUCUUGAAUACUCUGGAGGUAAGCGGAAUAUGUCAUGUAGCGGUGAAAUGCUUAGAUAUGACAUAGAACACCAAUUGCGAAGACAGCUUACUACAUAGUUAUUGACACUGAGGCACGAAAGCGUGGGGAUCAAACAGG
rnacentral:rRNA from 1 species